GGGAGGCAGCAGUGAGGAAUUUUCGUCAAUGGGGGAAACCCUGAACGAGCAACGCCGCGUGAGGGAUGAAGGUUUUCGGAUCGUAAACCUCUGUCUUUGGGGACGAUAAUGACGGUACCCGAGGAGGAAGCCACGGCUAACUACGUGCCAGCGGCCGCGGUAAUACGUAGGUGGCGAGCGUUGUCCGGAAUUACUGGGCGUAAAGGGCGUGUAGGCGGCUUUUUAAGUCAGACGUGAAAUCCCAAGGCUUAACCUUGGAACUGCGUUUGAAACUGGAAGGCUUGAGGAUCGGAGAGGGCAGUGGAAUUCCCAGUGUAGCGGUGAAAUGCGUAGAUAUUGGGAGGAACACCAGUGGCGAAGGCGACUGCCUGGACGACACCUGACGCUGAGGCGCGAAAGCUAGGGGAGCAAACGGGAUUAGAUACCCUAGUAGUCCC
rnacentral:rRNA from 1 species